rnacentral:rRNA from 1 species
UACGGGGGGGGCAAGCGUUGUUCGGAAUUACUGGGCGUAAAGGGCUCGUAGGCGGCCAACUAAGUCGGAUGUGAAAUCCCCAAGCUUAACUUGGGAACUGCAUCCGAUACUGGAUGGCUUGAAUCCGGGAGAGGGAUGCAGAAUUCCAGGUGUAGCGGUGAAAUGCGUAGAUAUCUGGAGGAGUACCGGUGGCGAAGGCGGCAUCCUGGACCGGCAUUGACGCCGAGGAGCGAAAGCUAGGGGAGCAAACGGG